CGAUACGGGACUCAUCCGAGGCCCCGUAAUCGGAAUGAGAACACUUUAAAUCCUUUAGCGAGGAUCCAUUGGAGGGCAAGUCUGGUGCCAGCAGCCGCGGUAAUUCCAGCUCCAAUAGCGUAUAUUAAAGUUGUUGCGGUUAAAAAGCUCGUAGUUGAAUCUGUGUGCCACGCUGUCGGUUCAUCGCUCGCGAUGUUAACUGACAUGAUUGUGGGACGUCCUACCGGUGGACUUAGCCUUUCGGGGCGGUCCAGCUAAUAUCCCAUCGCGGUGCUCUUCAUCGAGUGUCGAGGUGGGCCGGUACGUUUACUUUGAACAAAUUAGAGUGCUCAAAGCAGGCUAGGCUCGCCUGAAUACUGUGUGCAUGGAAUAAUGGAAUAGGACCUCGGUUCUAUUUUGUUGGUUUUCGGAACCCCGAGGUAAUGAUUAAUAGGGACAGAUGGGGGCAUUCGUAUUGCGACGUUAGAGGUGAAAUUCUUGGAUCGUCGCAAGACGGACAGAAGCGAAAGCAUUUGCCAAAAAUGUUUUCAUUAAUCAAGAACGAAAGUUAGAGGUUCGAAGGCGAUCAGAUACCGCCCUAGUUCUAACCAUAAACGAUGCCAGCUAGCGAUCCGCCGAUGUUCCUCCGAUGACUCGGCGGGCAGCUUCCGGGAAACCAAAGCUUUUGGGUUCCGGGGGAAGUAUGGUUGCAAAGCUGAAACUUAAAGGAAUUGACGGAAGGGCACCACCAGGAGUG
rnacentral:rRNA from 1 species